GGAAUCUGCCUAAGAACGAUCCUCUACAGCCUAAGUUAUCACCCCUCCACAGAGAAGAUCAAUAGGCCGUUAAUCCCGCUCUGAUCACACGGUCAUGAUUCAUCCACCAGACGUAGGUUCCUGUCUCCUUAGAACUCAAGGACACAGAGGUACGAGCCUAUAGAACAGAUCCUGUUCAAGUAAGGUCGUGACCAUGAAUGUUAUGCUUAAUUAUAUAAACACAUGUUUGUAGCUAAACGCUCUCGAUGUGGGACUAUUAUUAUUUCUGUGUCAAGUUGUUAAAGAGGCAAUUGUCUAGGGUUCAGACUUGGUCAAAGCUUAUAGAAUGAGAGUUAAAUUCCUAAAACAUUAUCAGAAGUGUUCGAUCUUUUACUGAGAGAUUGUAAAAUUUAUACAAAGGCGUCAACAAUCCGAAAAUGAAUGCAAAAUAAAAGUGUCCUAGACUCCUAGACUGUGAUUAUAACAAAAGCCUGAACCAACUUGAUUCAGCUAUGGAUAGUGUUCUCUUUGAUAAGUUCUACGCUGAAGAAGCAUAAAGCGGUAUAAACCAUCUGUAAGAAAAAUCAUCAUCUUUACAAUAUAUACCCUUCUCAGGCCUUUUGACUGUCUAUGUCUUUCACUACACAGCAUGAUCCUGCAGUGAAACAGCCAUUGUAUAAUGCAUACAACUAAUCUUGAAGUUGCUUAGUAUUCUCACACUGUUGUCCAGUGUGUUUGGAUAACUACCAUAAUUAAUUCUGGCCUCCGAAAUCAUGGUGAAAAUUUGAGAAAGUGAACGCAACUAUUUAUUGCUUUGGCUUUUAACGUGGAAUCGAAAUUGAAUAUGGAAAAAUUGAAUCUAAUCCAAACACACUAGUAAUUGUUUCUGCUGUCAUAUUAAGUUCCAUUGUUGCAUAAUUGCAUUGUCACAAUCAGUGGCAAUUGUUUCCAGGGUGCCUUUUAUCGACUGUUCCUCUGGAUUAAUGAGUGCUUUUUAUACUUUUUAUGUUCCUAAUCAUGUCCAGGUGAUUUAAUUUUUGAAGAGAUGGAUAGAAGACUUUUGAGGUGCAUUGUCUUUAUGAGUUGAAACAUGCUUUCAGGUUCCAGUGAGUGUCAGCUGUAUUUGUCUCACUACACAGUACUGGAC
rnacentral:lncRNA from 1 species